UCAGAGAAGGAAGGAGGUAAAAUAAAAAAAAAGACAGCAACAGCAGGAGGACUCAAUCUCGUUCUGGUUCUUGUUCUUGUUCUUGUUCUUAUUCUCGUUCUUGUUCUCGUUCUCGUUCUCUUUCGGAAAAAGGGAAACGAA
rnacentral:ribozyme from 14 species